rnacentral:rRNA from 1 species
UGGGGAAUUUUGGACAAUGGGCGAAAGCCUGAUCCAGCAAUGCCGCGUGUGUGAAGAAGGCCUUCGGGUUGUAAAGCACUUUUGUCCGGAAAGAAAUCCUUGGCUCUAAUACAGUCGGGGGAUGACGGUACCGGAAGAAUAAGCACCGGCUAACUACGUGCCAGCAGCCGCGGUAAUACGUAGGGUGCAAGCGUUAAUCGGAAUUACUGGGCGUAAAGCGUGCGCAGGCGGUUUGCUAAGACCGAUGUGAAAUCCCCGGGCUCAACCUGGGAACUGCAUUGGUGACUGGCAGGCUAGAGUAUGGCAGAGGGGGGUAGAAUUCCACGUGUAGCAGUGAAAUGCGUAGAGAUGUGGAGGAAUACCGAUGGCGAAGGCAGCCCCCUGGGCCAAUACUGACGCUCAUGCACGAAAAGCGUGGGGAGCAAACAGGAUUAGAUACCCUGGUAGUCCACGCCCUAAAACGAUGUCAACUAGUUGUUGGGGAUUCAUUUCCUUAGUAACGUAGCUAACGCGUGAAGUUGACCGCCUGGGGGAGUACGGUCGCAAGAUUAAAACUUAAAUGAAUUGACGGGGUCAUAGCUGUUUCCU